rnacentral:lncRNA from 1 species
CUCCGGUGUGGCUGGGCCCCCAGCCCUCGCGGUGUCGGGAGCCUGUGUCCCGCGCUGAGCCUCGGUAGCUCAGAGGACUUGAGAACUCGUGUUCUCCACGGCUGAGGAAGAGUAAGGUUCUUCAUUCAAAGAAUAGAUUCGUGGAGUUGUUAACUCGCUUCAGGCUCCCACCUCAGUGCCUGGGUCAGGUGGGAAUGAGAGGGGCAGGGGUCCUGCCUGACGUUCUGGCUGGGCCGGAAAGGCGCUGAACAGGUGACGUGCACACUGGGGGUCCAGAGAGCGUAAGUGCCGAGGAGGAGACAGAAGGAGGUUGUGCGGUCGAACAGCCUGUCCCACAGAAACGGUGCGGACCGCCAAUCCCGUUCAGGUGUUCGAACUGCCACAAAACAGUAAAAAGGAGCAAGUUACGUUCAUCUCAGUAGUAACAACAUGGAAUCAAUAGAAAAUCAUUAAUGAUUAAUGAUCUAUAUUAAUGAUAUAUUUUGCCUAAAAGUCCGGUGUGUAUUUUAUACUUCCAGCCCAUUUCAGUUCAGACUAGUCCCAUUUCCAGAGCUGGGAAGCAGCCUGUGUGGCUGGAGCAGCGUGAGGAGUGCACAGUGGCGUAAGAUGCAGCGGAAGAGACAGGCCAGAUUUUCUCCAAGCUCUUAUCCUGGUGGACUGCCAAGAAAUUCAGUCUCUCUCANNNNNNNNNNNNNNNGAUCCCCCAAAAGUUUUAAGGGUC